rnacentral:rRNA from 1 species
GACGAACCGUACGAACGUUAUUCGGAAUCACUGGGCUUAAAGGGUGCGUAGGCGGCGCGACAAGUUGGGUGUGAAAUCCCUCGGCUCAACCGAGGAACUGCGCCCAAAACUGUCGUGCUCGAGGGAGACAGAGGUGAGCGGAACUUAGGGUGGAGCGGUGAAAUGCGUUGAUAUCCUAAGGAACACCGGUGGCGAAAGCGGCUCACUGGGUCUCUUCUGACGCUGAGGCACGAAAGCUGGGGUAGCGAACGGG